rnacentral:rRNA from 1 species
GAUGAACGCUGGCGGCGUGCCUAAUACAUGCAAGUCGAACGCAUAGCGAAAGGUGCUUGCACCUUUCAAGUGAGUGGCGAACGGGUGAGUAACACGUGGACAACCUGCCUCAAGGCUGGGGAUAACAUUUGGAAGCAGAUGCUAAUACCGAAUAAAACUUAGUGUCGCAUGACACAAAGUUAAAAGGCGCUUCGGCGUCACCUAGAGAUGGAUCCGCGGUGCAUUAGUUAGUUGGUGGGGUAAAGGCCUACCAAGACAAUGAUGCAUAGCCGAGUUGAGAGACUGAUCGGCCACAUUGGGACUGAGACACGGCCCAAACUCCUACGGGAGGCUGCAGUAGGGAAUCUUCCACAAUGGGCGAAAGCCUGAUGGAGCAACGCCGCGUGUGUGAUGAAGGCUUUCGGGUCGUAAAGCACUGUUGUAUGGGAAGAACAGCUAGAAUAGGAAAGGAUUUUAGUUGGACGGUACCAUACCAGAAAGGGACGGCUAAAUACGU